rnacentral:rRNA from 1 species
CCCGGUCCUCGGAUCGGGCCAGUGGCGGAAGGGUGAGUAAGGCGACGGUAACCAACCCCAUGGUCGGGUAUAGCCGCGGGAAACUGCGGGUAAUCCCCAGCGACGUGCGGGGCCGGCAUCGGCCCGGCACCAAAGCCCAGGCGCCGUGGGACGGGCCGUCGUGGUAUUAGCUAGUUGGCGGGGUAACGGCCCACCAAGGCUGUGAUGCCUACCGGGCGUGCGAGCGUGGCCCGGCACACUGGGACUGAGACACUGCCCAGACUCCUACGGGAGGCUGCAGUCGAGAAUCUUCGGCAAUGGGCGCAAGCCUGACCGAGCGACGCCGCGUGGAGGAUGAAGGCCUUCGGGUUGUAAACUCCUGUCGAGGGGGAGGAAGGGGAGACCUUGACCGAUCCCUGGAGGAAGCACGGGCUAAGUUCGUGCCAGCAGCCGCGGUAAGACGAACCGUGCGAACGUUAUUCGGAAUCACUGGGCUUAAAGCGCGUGUAGGCGGGCGGGUACGUCGGCGACUGAAAGCCCCCGGCUCAACCGGGGAAGGGGUGCCGAAACGGCCGGCCUGGAGGGGCGUAGGGGGACCUGGAACUUCCGGUGGAGCGGUGAAAUGCGUUGAGAUCGGAAGGAACGCCCGUGGCGAAAGCGAGGUCCUGGACGCCAUCUGACGCUGAGACGCGAAAGCCAGGGGAGCGAACGGGAUUAGAUACCCCGGUAGUCCUGGCCGUAAACGAUGG